AUUAUUGACGCUCUCUCUCUCUCUCUCUCUCUCUCUCUCUCUGGCUGGCCGGCCGUCAUUCACCGGCGCCGACCAACCCCUCUCUCGAUCUCCGGCGAUUUCUGCUCCCCCUUCGAUCUCUCUCUCUCUCUCUCCCCUGCAUCUGGCUUUUUUCCCCCAUUUUCCGGCAUGCUCUCCCUUUCUCCGGCGAUUCUUCUCGUUUUCCGGGGUGCUAGCUCUUCUCCGGCGUAAAAGGUACUCUCCGGCGUCCGGAUCGGUGAGUCUGAGCCCCACGGGCUUUCAGGUUUGGGUUAUCUCUGAGUUUUUCGCUUGAAUCGGCAGGUUAUGCUUUGGAAGACUGCUUUGUGGCUUUUUGUUGUUGAGUGUGAUGCAGAAGAACAUGUUGUAGCAGCCGAGAAUUAUGGAGGUCAAGAUAAAAUGCCUUAUGAAUUUGAAUUGAAAAUACAAAUAUAAUGGAAUCUCUGGAAUAUAAUGGAAUGUAGAUGAUGUACUUGAAUUUGUAACUUGUAGUUUCUAUUUUUUUUUUUUUGAACAAGCAUUUCAAACAUUCAUUCUCUGAUGUUUAUGUUGAGGAAUGGUUGAAUUGUACUUGGCUACUUGGUUCUUGGAGAAAUAGAUGGAAUGGUCGAAUGUUUAGGUUCUACUACUAGUUGCUUUGUUCCUCUUUUCUGUUCUAGCUGCUUGUUUUGUUUUGGGCAGUUUGAAGACGGUUUUGGUUUUUGUAUCGUUGGUUGCUGUGUUUUGUCCUGAAGCAGGGGAUGUGUUGUUGCUGGUUUCUAGUACAAAUUUUGCUUUGUGUUGUUUCAGGUUGAGUGUAUUUUUCUUUUUGUUUUGGCCGUUCAUAAAAAAAGAAGAGAAAAGAAAUUGUUGUGUGACUGACUAUUAUAUUGGACAGAUGAACCGAUUGUGUUGUUCAUGUUCGUUUUGGGUAUCAAA